AUUGAACGCUGGCGGCAGGCCUAACACAUGCAAGUCGAGCGGGGUUUUCGGACCUAGCGGCGGACGGGUGAGUAAUGCGUAGGAAGCUACCCGAUAGAGGGGGAUACCAGUUGGAAACGACUGUUAAUACCGCAUAAUGUCUACGGACCAAAGUGUGGGACCUUCGGGCCACAUGCUAUCGGAUGCGCCUACGUGGGAUUAGCUAGUUGGUGAGGUAAUGGCUCACCAAGGCGACGAUCCCUAGCUGGUUUGAGAGGAUGAUCAGCCACACGGGAACUGAGACACGGUCCAGACUCCUACGGGAGGCAGCAGUGGGGAAUAUUGGACGAUGGGCGCAAGCCUGAUCCAGCCAUGCCGCGUGUGUGAAGAAGGCCUUCGGGUUGUAAAGCACUUUCAGUAGGGAGGAAGCGUUGUGUGUUAAUAGUACACAGCGUUGACGUUACCUACAGAAGAAGCACCGGCUAACUCUGUGCCAGCAGCCGCAGUAAUAC
rnacentral:rRNA from 1 species